CUACACUAAAAAUUGGAAAAAAGCGUAAAAAUGUCGUCAGAUGAGUCUGAUAUUGACCUGAAUGACUCAAUGGAUGAAGAAUCUGAUGUCUGGGUACCAGAAUCGGACGAUGAGGGUCCCGAGGACGGAAACCAAGCCCCGACUUUGACCAAUCGUGAUCAAAACAACAGAAACUAGCCACAACCUCCACGUAACCAGUCUUACGCGGACCAGGAUGAUGGCCCACCAGAACCACUGCCUCAGUUUAGGCCUGCCGUGCUGUUGGCCUGCAUCUCCCUGACUGUAUCACCCGACAGGACAUCCGAAGUUUUCUGACGCCAGCAUCCUUCUUCAAACUGUUUUUCUGCACUGAGAUGGUGAAUCAGAUCUGCCUCUUCUCUAAUGAGUACGCCCCGAUGACAGGACCCAACAAACCAUCUGUCUUUCGCUCCUGGGAGGAUCUUGACUCUGAGAUGUUUCUCAAGUUCGUUGGACUGCUAAUGUAUAUGUCUAUUGUUCAUCUACCAAAUUUAGAGCUGUACUGGUCUACGAAAACCUGUUUUCAUGGACUAUGGGCAAGGGCAUACAUGAGCAAACUAAAUUUCAAACAAAUUCAGUCUUUUUUUAAAUUAUGCAAUCCAGACACUGAGCGAGAUACUGAUAAGCUACGGAAAGUUAGGUUUGUGCACUAUUUUUUGAGUAUGAAAUGUAUGAAGUAUUGGCAACCUAACCAGUGUGUUAGCAUAGAUGAGAGGAUGGUUCAAAAUAAGGGGAGAUACAGUUUCAGGCAAUACAUAAAGGAUAACUAAAUGGGGGAUGAAGUUACGGGUGGUUGCAGAUUCGAUGAAUGGGUACACAUACAAUUAUGAAGUUUACACAGG